UUAAUUUAGUCGAAUGAAGUGUUGGGGAUUCGUAUUCGAGAAUUCCAGCAACAGUAGAGUUGUCAAAUGUGCCUUGGCCAGUGACAUAAGGUCUAGCAGACAUGAGAAAAGUGGCAUCAGGGUAUUCUGAUUUGGUUUUCAAAAGUACAUUUGUUGUUUGUCCCGGUGUUAUAAGUACUGUUUCAGUGUCAAAUGGUUUAACAUAUAAUGCAUCAGUUUCAACUACUGUGAGUGUAUGAUUUGCAAUGCUGAAGAAAAGUUCAUCAUUGAGUGCAGCAUUGAUUAUUCUUAGAAGGAUGAGGGAUGAGACAUAAUGCAAGGAAAACAAUAAUGAACAUUGUCAUGGGAACUAAUGUGGGAAAAGCAGUAGAAGAACCCAUCAAUUUAAUUUGAUGUCUAAUUCUUUUUUGAAUUGAUUUUUGUAUUGUAGUUGGAUAAAAUCUAGCCCCUAAAUUUGAUGUAUAUAUAGGAGUGCUAGCUAGGUUGGUUAGGUGAUGAAAAUAGUAGUAUAAUUUAAAGAAGAACAUGAGGAAGAAGUUCAAAAUUUUUGUGUACAUAAAUUGACUAGCUACUAUAGUUGGAAAACAACUUUAGAGUGUUGUCAAAGACAAUCUAGCUCUAUAUGUUUUGAUUUUUAUAUUUUACUGAGAUUCUAAAA